rnacentral:rRNA from 1 species
AUUGAACGCUGGCGGCAGGCCUAACACAUGCAAGUCGAGCGGAUGAAGGGAGCUUGCUCCUGGAUUCAGCGGCGGACGGGUGAGUAAUGCCUAGGAAUCUGCCUGGUAGUGGGGGAUAACGUCCGGAAACGGGCGCUAAUACCGCAUACGUCCUGAGGGAGAAAGUGGGGGAUCUUCGGACCUCACGCUAUCAGAUGAGCCUAGGUCGGAUUAGCUAGUUGGUGGGGUAAAGGCCUACCAAGGCGACGAUCCGUAACUGGUCUGAGAGGAUGGUCAGUCACCCUGAAACUGGACAACGGCCCAGACUCCACGGGAGGGCAGCAGUGGGGAAAAUGGGCAAAGGGGGAAAAGCCUAACCCAGCCAGGCCGCGUGUGUGAAGAAGGUCUUCGGAUUGUAAAGCACUUUAAGUGGGGAGAAAGGGAAGUAAGUUAAUACCUGGCUGUUUUACGUUACCAACAGAAUAAGCACCGGCUAACUUCGUG